rnacentral:rRNA from 1 species
UACGUAGGUGGCGAGCGUUUUCCGGAAUUACUGGGUGUAAAGGGCGUGUAGGCGGGGGCUCAAGUCGGAUGUGAAAUACCGUGGCUCAACCACGGGGCUGCAUCCGAAACUGUGCCUCUUGAGUACCGGAGAGGAAAGUGGAAUUCCCAGUGUAGCGGUGAAAUGCGUAGAUAUUGGGAGGAACACCGGUGGCGAAGGCGACUUUCUGGACGGUAACUGACGCUGAGGCGCGAAAGCGUGGGGAGCAAACAGG